CACAUGCAAGUCGAGGGGCAGCACAAGGAGCAAUCUGAGGUGGCGACCGGCGCACGGGUGAGUAACACGUAUGCAACCUGCCUGUAAGCGGGGAAUAACCCGUUGAAAGACGGACUAAUACCGCAUAAUACUAAAUUACUGCAUGGUAAUUUAUUUAAACAUUUAUGGCUUACAGAUGGGCAUGCGCAUGAUUAGCUAGUUGGAGAGGUAACGGCUCCCCAAGGCAACGAUCAUUAGGGGUUCUGAGAGGAAGGUCCCCCACACUGGUACUGAGACACGGACCAGACUCCUACGGGAGGCAGCAGUGAGGAAUAUUGGUCAAUGGACGAGAGUCUGAACCAGCCAAGUCGCGUGCAGGAAGAAUGUCCUAAUGGAUUGUAAACUGCUUUUGCAGGGGAAUAAAGUGCAUCACGUGUGAUGUUUUGUAUGUACUCUGCGAAUAAGGAUCGGCUAACUCCGUGCCAGCAGCAGC
rnacentral:rRNA from 1 species